GGCGGACGGGUUAGUAACGCGUGGGAACAUACCCUUUUCUAAGGAAUAGCCUCGGGAAACUGAGAGUAAUACCUUAUACGCCCUUCGGGGGAAAGAUUUAUCGGUGAAGGAUUGGCCCGCGUUAGAUUAGAUAGUUGGUGGGGUAAUGGCCUACCAAGUCUACGAUCUAUAGCUGGUUUGAGAGGAUGAUCAGCAACACUGGGACUGAGACACGGCCCAGACUCCUACGGGAGGCAGCAGUGGGGAAUCUUAGACAAUGGGCGCAAGCCUGAUCUAGCGAUGCCGCGUGAGUGAUGAAGGCCUUAGGGUCGUAAAGCUCUUUCGCCAAGGAUGAUAAUGACAGUACUUGGUAAAGAAACCCCGGCUAACUCCGUGCCAGCAGCCGCGGUAAUACGGAGGGGGUUAGCGUUGUUCGGAAUUACUGGGCGUAAAGCGUACGUAGGCGGAUUAGUCAGUUAGAGGUGAAAUCCCAGGGCUCAACCCUGGAACUGCCUUUAAUACUGCUAGUCUUGAGUUCGAGAGAGGUGAGUGGAAUUCCGAGUGUAGAGGUGAAAUUCGUAGAUAUUCGGAGGAACACCAGUGGCGAAGGCGGCUCACUGGCUCGAUACUGACGCUGAGGUACGAAAGUGUGGGGAGCAAACAGGAUUAGA
rnacentral:rRNA from 1 species